rnacentral:lncRNA from 1 species
CACAUGGCGCAAAAAAAGGCUCAUGAGCUUCAGGUAAAGAUUCAAAGGACUGGUCUCCAAAGUGCACGAUCCAGACGCUACAGCAGUGGAGAAUCCGUGCAACGCACCGGAUAAAUUCGCACUUCAGAGAAGAUCUGUACACCAAUAACAUCGCGUUGGAGGAUGCUCUCCAUCAUGCUAACUACGUCAUCACUAUGAAGGAUGAUAACCAUGUCUAUAUGAUUAAGCACAACGCGAUGCAGCGCCUUGUAGCCGCAAAGGCGGAAAAUUCUUACGAAGAACCUCGACAAUAUUUAUCCUAUGACAAGCAAGAUAACAAGAAGUUGAUUGUUUAAUAUGUUGUCAAGACCAAACCUAUUGCUUCACCUGCAAUCACAACGACAAAACUUGGAAGGUUUGGGACUAGUAGAUAGACGGAUCAGGUCCUCAAUCUUAUGACGAGAAUAAAUACUGCAACUAUCACAAGCAAAAGAGGCACAUCACCAAAGAGUACAAGCAACUCGCUGAUGCGCUCAAGGAGAAACCACGGGAGAGUCGUCUUGCUCAAGGCCAAAGAGUCAUCUGGAGUGGAUGACUGGGAUCCAUCAUAGGUUAGAGUGGUGUUGGCCUGUUGGGUUCCCCGGUGGCAAUGUUUCUCUACCGAGUCGGGAUGACAUCGAUGGUUUGGAUUGGUGCGUUCGUUGCGGUUGGAUUCGCUGGUUCUGGGAUCCAUUUCAGUCUGGCUGAUAUUUGAUUGGACUCUUGAGUUAGAGACGGAUUUUUUUUAUCGUAUCCCUACAGUCGGAGCCAAUUUGUGGG